rnacentral:rRNA from 1 species
AGUGAACGCUGGCGGUAGGCCUAACACAUGCAAGUCGAACGGCAGCACAGUAAGAGCUUGCUCUUACGGGUGGCGAGUGGCGGACGGGUGAGGAAUACAUCGGAAUCUACUUUUUCGUGGGGGAUAACGUAGGGAAACUUACGCUAAUACCGCAUACGACCUACGGGUGAAAGCAGGGGAUCUUCGGACCUUGCGCGAUUGAAUGAGCCGAUGUCGGAUUAGCUAGUUGGCGGGGUAAAGGCCCACCAAGGCGACGAUCCGUAGCUGGUCUGAGAGGAUGAUCGGCCACACGAGAACUGAGACACGGUCCAGACUACUACGGGAGGCAGCAGUGGGGAAUAUUGGACAAUGGGCGCAAGCCUGAUCCAGCCAUACCGCGUGGGUGAAGAAGGCCUUCGGGUUGGAAAGCCCUUUUGUUGGGAAAGAAAAGCAGCAGGUUAAUACCCCGCUGUUCUGACGGUACCCAAAGAAUAAGCACCGGCUAACUUCGUG